GGAGGCUGCAAAGCCCAACAGUAAGAGCCUGCAUCUGCUGAGGGCCUUCCUGCUGGGACAUCCCAUGGUGGAAGGCAGAAGGGGAAAGGGCGAGAGAGCCAGAGAGCAAGCCAGCAAGAGGAGCCCCACACCGGCCUUCACAAAAACCACUCUCAGGCAUUGGAAAGUCUAAGCCAACUAUCCCCCACAGUUGGCACCCUGGAACAGGCGACUGCAGGAGCAGCAAGCAGCAGCAUUACCGGCCACUAGGCAGAGUACAACUAAUUCAGCCUAUCAUCAGUGUGGCUACUGGAAGCAUUUUUCUUUCUGAAAGUAAAACACAGGCUGGAGUGCAGUGGCAUGAUCAUACCUCACCUACAGCUUCUACCUCCUGGGAUCAGGUA